rnacentral:rRNA from 1 species
UAGGGAAUCUUCCGCAAUGGACGCAAGUCUGACGGAGCAACGCCGCGUGAGUGAAGAAGGAUUUCGGUUCGUAAAACUCUGUUGUUAGAGAAGAACAGCGCAUAGAGUAACUGUUAUGCGUGUGACGGUAUCUAACCAGAAAGCCACGGCUAACUACGUGCCAGCAGCCGCGGUAAUACGUAGGUGGCAAGCGUUGUCCGGAUUUAUUGGGCGUAAAGCGAGCGUAGGCGGUCAAUUAAGUCUGAUGUGAAAGCCCCCGGCUCAACCGGGGAGGGUCAUUGGAAACUGGUUGACUUGAGUGCAGAAGAGGAGAGUGGAAUUCCAUGUGUAGAGGUGAAAUGCGUAGAUAUAUGGAGGAACACCAGUGGCGAAGGCGACUCUCUGGUCUGUAACUGACGCUGAGGCUCGAAAGCGUGGGUAGCAAACAGG